CCCCUAGAUGUUCUGGGCCGCACGCGCGCUACACUGAACAGUUCAACAAGUCUUAACCUUGGCCGAUAGGUCUGGGUAAUCUUUGAACGCUGUUCGUGAUUGGGAUAGACCUUUGCAAUUAUGGGUCUUCAACGAGGAAUUCCUAGUAAACGCAAGUCAUCAGCUUGCAUUGAUUACGUCCCUGCCCUUUGUACACACCGCCCGUCGCACCUACCGAUUGAAUGGUCCGGUGAAAUCUCGGGACGGCGGCUUGGUCGCUUGCGUCCGACUGCUGAAACUUGAUUAAACCAUAUCAUUUAGAGGAAGGUGAAGUCGUAACAA
rnacentral:rRNA from 1 species